UACAGAGGUCUCAAGCGUUGUUCGGAUUCAUUGGGCGUAAAGGGUGCGUAGGCGGCGCGGUAAGUCGGGUGUGAAAUCUCGGAGCUUAACUCCGAAACUGCAUUCGAUACUGCCGUGCUUGAGGACUGGAGAGGAGACUGAAAUUUACGGUGUAGCGGUGAAAUGCGUAGAUAUCAGGAAGAACACCCGUGCCUAAGGCGGCUCUCUAGUACGGUACUGACGCUGAGACGCGAAAGCGUGGGGAGCGAACAGG
rnacentral:rRNA from 1 species